rnacentral:tRNA from 1 species
GGAGAGAUAGCACAGUGGGUAGAGUUGUUGCUCUUCAAGCAUUCGUACUUGAGUUUGGAUCCUCAACUUCUCCA